AUAGACCCGCCUUCUUAAAAUGGUGGUUUCUCAUUGGUGUAACGCCAGUGCCGUCACUAAAAUGGAAACAAACGAUUGGCUUCUAUUCGAAACCAAUCAACCAUUUUCUUACACGUCAUUAGAUUGCGACUCAAUCACAUUGAGGACAACACGCUUGACGGUACCGAAUUUAAAAUAUUUUCGUAGCAAUUUUCCUCAAUGUUUCAACAGAAUACAAUCCGGGUUUCGAAUCGUAUAUUUUGGCAUACAAGUUAUACUUUCUCGAGAUCAUGGACUCAGUUAUCAAGGACAAGACCGCUUGCAUCAGGGACCAGUCAAUGGUCCUCUUCACAGUCAAGACACAGCAGUGGGCCGAUUUUGCCAGUUGCUUUCAGGCAGUAUCGAAGAGACGUACCUCUACAUAACCAAUUCUCUACCACAACACACGUCUGCAUCGAUUCUAUUGGGAAGAUUCAUUCAACGCAUUACCACUUGGUUUACACAUGCAAGGUGUGCUCAACCAGGUCAACGAAGAGGAUAUCCAAGGUAGCCUAUCAUAAAGGUGUUGUCCUAGUGACCUGCCCAGGAUGUGAAAAACACCACAUUAUUGCUGACAACUUGGGUUGGUUCUCUGAUCUGAAGGGAAAGAGCCCUGCCACAAAAGGACCAGUUGACAUGUCAGUGAUUCUCUCGUUAACACGGGUGGGAGUGUUGAAGAGGACAAAGCUGGCGAUCACUCUGUCGUGCUGAUUGAGUUCGAAUAACAGACUGGAAGCUUCAAAAGGAGGGUGGUGCUUGGAAUCAUUGUUCUUCCUUUGUUGACCAUGGUUACCUGCAAGGAAACACGUGCUGUCAUCAUUGCUUUGCACAAAAAGGGCUUCACAGGCAAGGAUAUUGCUGCCAGUAAGAUCAACCAUUUAUCGGAUCAUCAAGAACUUCAAGGAGAGCAGUUCAAUUGUUGUGAAGAAGGCUUCAGGGCCCCCAGAGAAAGUCCAGCAAGCCUCUGGACCGUCUCCUAAAGUUGAUUCAGCUGUGGGAUCGGGGCACCACCAGUACAGAGCUUGCUCAGGAAUGGCAGCAGGCAGGUGUGCGUGCAUCUUCACGCACAGUGAAGCAAGGACUUUUGGAGGAUGGUCUGGUGUCAAGGAGGGCAGCAAAGAAGCCACUUCUCUCCAGGAAAAACAUCAGGGACAGACUAAUAUUCUUAAAAAGGUACAGGAAGUGGACUGCUGAGAACUGGGGUAAAGUCAUUUUCUCUGAUCAAUCCCCUUUCCGAUUGUUUGGGGAAUACGGAAAAAAGCUUGUCCGGAGAAGACAAGGUGAGCGCUACCAUCAGUCCUGUGUCAUGCCAACACUAAAGCAUCCUGAGGCCAUUAAUGUGUGGGGUUGCUUCUCAGCCAAGGGAGUGGGCUCACUCACAAUUUUGCCUAAGAGCACAGCCAUGAAUAAAGAAUGGUACCAACACAUCCUCCGAGAGCAACUUCUCCCAACCAUCUAGGAACAGUUUGCUGACGACCAAUGCCUUUUCCAGCAUGAUGGAGCACCUUGCCAUAAGGCAAAAGUGAUAACUAAGUGGCUCGGGGAACAAAACAUCGAUAUUUUGGGUCCAUGGCCAGGAAACUCCCCAGACUUUAAUCCCAUUUAGAACUUGUGGUCAAUCCUCAAGAGGCGGAUGGACAAACAAAAAAACACAAAUUCUGACAAACUCUGAGCAUUGAUUAUGCAAGAAUGGGCUGCCAUCAGUCAGGAUGUGGCCCAGAAGUUAAUUGACAGCAUGCCAGGGCGGAUUGCAGAGGUCUUGAAAAAUAAGGGUUAACACUGCAAAUAUUGACUCAUUGCAUCAACUUCAUGUAAUUGUCAAUAAAAGUAUUUGACACUUA